UUCGCCACGCCCGCUACAGAACUUAAAGGAAGUUGACGGGGGCCCGCACAAGCGGUGGAGCAUGUGGUUUAAUUCGAUGAUACGCGAGGAACCUUACCUGGGCUCAAAUGUAUGUUGACGUAUUCUGAAAGGGAUACUUCUUCGGACAAUAUACAAGGUGCUGCAUGGUUGUCGUCAGCUCGUGCCGUGAGGUGUCGGGUUAAGUCCCAUAACGAGCGCAACCCCUAUCAUUAGUUGCCAUCAGGUCAAGCUGGGGACUCUAAUGAAACUGCCUACGCAAGUAGUGAGGAAGGUGGGGAUGACGUCAAAUCAGCACGGCCCUUACGUCCAGGGCUACACACGUGCUACAAUGGCCGGUACAAAGGGUUGCCAAGCCGCGAGGUGGAGCUAAUCCCAUAAAACCGAUCGUAGUCCGGAUCGCAGUCUGCAACUCGACUGCGUGAAGUCGGAAUCGCUAGUAAUCGUGAAUCAGAAUGUCACGGUGAAUACGUUCCCGGGCCUU
rnacentral:rRNA from 1 species